rnacentral:tRNA from 1 species
GGACUAUAGCUCAGUGGUAGAGCGCUUGCCUAGCAUGUGUGAGGCACUGGGUUCAAUCCUCAGCACCA